rnacentral:lncRNA from 1 species
CAGUAGCACUUGUUUCUUGGAUUUGUUAUAAAUGUAUACCCUUUCGAGACGUUGCAUCCACAUCUUGUGUCAUUUUUAAAACUUCCUUUAUUGAAAAGGAAUUGACCCUCUGCAUUACAGAAUGACUUUUGAUACACGCAAGCACUGCUCCCGUCAGUUGAGAAUGGAAAAGGUUGAUAUCGAUUGUAGUUGCAUCUGGCCUUGUUGAAAUUUGGUUGAAACACAAGUUUGCUGCCU